AGACUAUUAGCUCAGUGGUUUGAGCAUGGUGCUGACAAUAAGGACCAACACCGAGAUCGCGGGUUCGAUUCCCGCUCGGUCCC
rfam:Apaloderma vittatum contig91432, whole genome shotgun sequence.